ensembl:lncRNA
CUAGGACUGGCUUUGCAGUGUUGGUUAAUGGACAAGGCUACAACUGGCUUUGCAGUGUUGGCUAAUGGACAAGGCUAAGACUGGCUUUGCAGUGUUGGCUAAUUGACAAAGCUAGGACUGGCUUUGCAGUGUUGGCUAAUUGACAAGGCUAGGACUAGCUUUGCAGUGUUGGCUAAUUGACAAGGCUAGGACUGGCUUUGCAGUGUUGGCUAAUUGACAAGGCUAGGACUGGCUUUGUAGUGUUGGCUAAUUGACAAGGCUACAACUGCCUUUGCAGUGUUGGCUAAUUGACAAGGCUAGGACUGGCUUUGCCUAUUUAGAUCAGCUUUACCGAUGACCUCUCUCUCUCUCUCUCUCUCGGUCUCUCUCUCUCUCUCUCUCUCUCCAG